CAGUCGCCGCGGUAAUACGAAGGGUGCAAGCGUUACUCGGAAUUACUGGGCGUAAAGCGUGCGUAGGUGGUUGUUUAAGUCUGCUGUGAAAGCCCUGGGCUCAACCUGGGAAUUGCAGUGGAUACUGGGCGACUAGAGUAAGGUAGAGGAUAGUGGAAUUUCCGGUGUAGCAGUGAAAUGCGUAGAGAUCGGAAGGAACAUCUGUGGCGAAGGCGACUAUCUGGGCCAUUACUGACACUGAGGCACGAAAGCGUGGGGAGCAAACAGGAUUAUACCCCGGUAGUCCCUGUCUCUUAUACAC
rnacentral:rRNA from 1 species